rnacentral:ribozyme from 1 species
ACGUGGCAACCAGCGCGCCAGAGAAGAAGACGAUUCCCCCGGCCAUCAUCAUUGGGGCGGGCAGGGUUGGCCAGGCGCUGAAAGAUAUGGGUUCGGGCGAGGACCUGCUUCUCGGCAGGCACGACUUCCUCCCGGAU